UACGUAGGGUGCAAGCGUUGUCCGGAAUUAUUGGGCGUAAAGAGCUCGUAGGCGGUCUGUCGCGUCUGCUGUGAAAAUCAGGGCUCAACCCUGGACCUGCAGUGGGUACGGGCAGACUAGAGUGCGGUAGGGGAGAACGGAAUUCCUGGUGUAGCGGUGAAAUGCGCAGAUAUCAGGAGGAACACCGGUGGCGAAGGCGGUUCUCUGGGCAUUACCUGACGCUGAGGAGCGAAAGUGUGGGGAGCGAACAGG
rnacentral:rRNA from 1 species